rnacentral:rRNA from 1 species
CAGUCGCCGCGGGAAUACGUAGGUGGCAAGCGUUGUCCGGAAUUAUUGGGCGUAAAGGGCUCGCAGGCGGUUUCUUAAGUCUGAUGUGAAAGCCCCCGGCUCAACCGGGGAGGGUCAUUGGAAACUGGGAAACUUGAGUGCAGAAGAGGAGAGUGGAAUUCCACGUGUAGCGGUGAAAUGCGUAGAGAUGUGGAGGAACACCAGUGGCGAAGGCGACUCUCUGGUCUGUAACCGACGCUGAGGAGCGAAAGCGUGGGGAGCGAACAGGAUUAGAUACCCCUGUAGUCCCUGUCUCUUAUAC